rfam:Astyanax mexicanus chromosome 4, whole genome shotgun sequence.
GUCAGAAUGGCCGAGCGGUCUAAGGCGCCAGACUCAAGGUUGUGCACCUUCUCCAAAAACAGAAGAGAUUUCUGGUCUCCGAAUGGAGGCGUGGGUUCAAAUCCCACUUCUGACA